AACGCCGCGUGGAGGAUGAAGGCCUUCGGGUUGUAAACUCCUGUCAGGGGGAACGACGGGACCAGGCAGACAAUGCCUGGCCGCCAGACGGUACCUCCAAAGGAAGCCCCGGCUAAUCCGUGCCAGCAGCCGCGGUAAUACGGAAGGGGCAAGCGUUGUUCGGAAUCAUUGGGCGUAAAGGGCGCGUAGGUGGUUCUGUAUGUCUACCGUGAAAGGGUACAGCUCAACUGUAGCGCGUCGGUAGAAACUGCAGGACUUGAGGCUGGGAGGGGCUGGUGGAAUUCCCUGUGUAGCGGUGAAAUGCGUAGAGAUGGGGGAGAACACUCGUGGCGAAGGCGGCCAGCUAGACCAGUUCUGACACUGAGGCGCGACAGCGUGGGGAGCAAACAGGAUUAGAUACCCUGGUAGUCCACGCUGUAAACGAUGGGCGCUAGGUGCCGGCGGUCUUGAUCCCGUCGGUGCCGGCGCUAACGCAGUAAGUGCCCCGCCUGGGGAGUACGGUCGCAAGGCUG
rnacentral:rRNA from 1 species